rnacentral:rRNA from 1 species
GAUGAACGCUAGCGGCAGGCCUAAUACAUGCAAGACGAACGGUAAGUUGAGUAGCAAUACUUAGCCAAGAGUGUCGUACGGGUGCGUAACACGUAUGCAACCUACCCUAUACAGGAGGAUAGCCUAGGGAAACCUGGAUUAAACCCUUCAUAGUAUUAUUGGAUGGCAUCAUUUGAUAAUUAAAAACUGAGGUGGUAUAGGAUGGGCAUGCGUCAGAUUAGUUAGUUGGCGGGGUAAUGGCCCACAAGACGAUGAUCAGUAGGGGUUCUGAGAGGAAGAUCCCCACACUGGCACUGAGAUACGGGCCAGACUCCUACGGGAGGCAGCAGUAGGAAUAUUGGUCAAUGGAUGCAAGUCUGAGCCAGCCAUGCCGCG